GUCGACGCUGAAGCCUGGUGCUUGCACCGGGUGGAUGAGUGGCGAACGGGUGAGUAACACGUGAGUAACCUGCCCCUGACUUCGGGAUAAGCCCGGGAAACUGGGUCUAAUACCGGAUACGACUGCCGGACGCAUGUCUGGUGGUGGAAAGUUUUUUCGGUUGGGGAUGGGCUCGCGGCCUAUCAGUUUGUUGGUGAGGUAAUGGCUCACCAAGACGACGACGGGUAGCCGGCCUGAGAGGGCGACCGGCCACACUGGGACUGAGACACGGCCCAGACUCCUACGGGAGGCAGCAGUGGGGAAUAUUGCACAAUGGGGGAAACCCUGAUGCAGCGACGCAGCGUGCGGGAUGACGGCCUUCGGGUUGUAAACCGCUUUCAGCAGGGAAGAAGCGCAAGUGACGGUACCUGCAGAAGAAGUACCGGCUAACUACGUGCCAGCAGCCGCGGUAAUACGUAGGGUACGAGCGUUGUCCGGAAUUAUUGGGCGUAAAGAGCUCGUAGGUGGUUGGUCACGUCUGCUGUGGAAACGCAACGCUUAACGUUGCGCGUGCAGUGGGUACGGGCUGACUAGAGUGCAGUAGGGGAGUCUGGAAUUCCUGGUGUAGCGGUGAAAUGCGCAGAUAUCAGGAGGAAC
rnacentral:rRNA from 1 species